rnacentral:rRNA from 1 species
GACGAACGCUGGCGGCGUGCUUAACACAUGCAAGUCGAACGGAAAGGCCUGCUUUCCCUUGUGGAUUGCGGGUACUCGAGUGGCGAACGGGUGAGUAACACGUGAGUGAUCUGCCCCCAACUUGGGUAUAAGCCUGGGAAACUGGGUCUAAUUCCCGAUAGGACUGCAGGGUGGUGCCUGUGGUGGAAAACGAUUUUCUAGUGGUUGGGGAUGAGCUCGCGGCCUAUCAGCUUGUUGGUGGGGUAAUGGCCUACCAAGGCGGCGACGGGUAGCCGGCCUGGGAGGGUGGACGGCGACAUUGGGACUGAGAUACGGCCCAGACUCCUACGGGAGGCAGCAGUGGGGAAUAUUGCACGAUGGGCGGAAGCCUGAUGCAGCGACGCCGCGUGGGGGAUGACGGCCUUCGGGUUGUAAACUCCUUUCGACCGCGAGGAAGCCACCUGGUUGGAAGGGUGGUGACGGUAGUGGUAGAAGAAGCACCGGCUAACUACGUG